CUUUAGUGCCCGCUCCAUCCAGCCACAACUCCUUCCAAAUCAGGUCCCACAGUUCCAUUACCCACUCAUCCAGGGGUUGCUCCCCUAGGAAAGGUGACCGCAGGGCCACAAGUACCUGGAACCACUGUUCGUCACUGGGAAGGCUCUCUCUCCGCCGCCGCUGGGCCUCCUCUAAGGCCUCAUACCACAGCUCCUUCCGAGUGGUAUCGCUCCAGUCCAGUAUGCCCUCCUAUGAUACAGGCCCAUACUGCUGGGCCAAGUGUUGCUACAAUCUCCAGAGAAACUCCUCUUCACAUGGGGACGCUGCACG